UACGUAGGGUGCAAGCGUUGUCCGGAUUUAUUGGGCGUAAAGAGCGUGUAGGCGGUCAGAUAGGUCCGUUGUGAAAACUCGAGGCUCAACCUCGAGACGCCGAUGGAAACCAUCUGACUAGAGUCCGGAAGAGGAGAGUGGAAUUCCUGGUGUAGCGGUGAAAUGCGCAGAUAUCAGGAAGAACACCCGUGGCUAAGGCGGCUCUCUAGUACGGUACUGACGCUGAGACGCGAAAGCGUGGGGAGCGAACAGG
rnacentral:rRNA from 1 species